AGAGUUUGAUCCUGGCUCAGGACGAACGCUUGCGGCGUGCUUAACACAUGCAAGUCGAACGCUGAAGGCCCAGCUUGCUGGGUUGGAUGAGUGGCGAACGGGUGAGUAACACGUGAGUAACCUGCCCCCUUCUUUGGGAUAACGGUCGGAAACGGCUGCUAAUACCGGGUAUUCACUGUCCUUCGCAUGGGGGGUGGUGGAAAGGUUUUUUCUGGUGGGGGAUGGGCUCGCGGCCUAUCAGCUUGUUGGUGGGGUGAUGGCUUACCAAGGCUUUGACGGGUAACCGGCCUGAGAGGGUGACCGGUCACAUUGGGACUGAGAUACGGCCCAGACUCCUACGGGAGGCAGCAGUGGGGAAUAUUGCACAAUGGGCGAAAGCCUGAUGCAGCGACGCCGCGUGAGGGAUGGAGGCCUUCGGGUUGUAAACCUCUUUCGCUCAUGGUCAAGCCGCAACAAUGGUUGUGGUGAGGGUAGUGGGUAAAGAAGCACCGGCUAACUACGUGCCAGCAGCCGCGGUAAUACGUAGGGUGCGAGCGUUGUCCGGAAUUAUUGGGCGUAAAGGGCUUGUAGGCGGUUCGUCGCGUCUGCCGUGAAAUCCUCUGGCUUAACUGGGGGCGUGCGGUGGGUACGGGCAGGCUUGAGUGCGGUAGGGGGGACUGGAACUCCUGGUGUAGCGGUGGAAUGCGCAGAUAUCAGGAAGAACACCGGUGGCGAAGGCGGGUCUCUGGGCCGUUACUGACGCUGAGGAGCGAAAGCGUGGGGAGCGAACAGGAUUAGAUACCCUGGUAGUCCACGCCGUAAACGUU
rnacentral:rRNA from 1 species